GUACGGGAGGCAGCAGUGAGGAAUAUUGGUCAAUGGACGCAAGUCUGAACCAGCCAUGCCGCGUGAAGGAUGAAGGCCUUCUGGGUUGUAAACUUCUUUUAUGUGGGAAGAAACCUCUGAUUUCUAUUAGAGUUGACGGUACCAUAGGAAUAAGCACCGGCUAACUCCGUGCCAGCAGCCGCGGUAAUACGGAGGGUGCAAGCGUUAUCCGGAUUUACUGGGUUUAAAGGGUGUGUAGGCGGGCUAUUAAGUCAGUGGUGAAAUCUCCGAGCUUAACUUGGAAACUGCCAUUGAUACUAUUAGUCUUGAAUUUUGUUGAGGUAGGCGGAAUAAGUCAUGUAGCGGUGAAAUGCAUAGAUAUGACUUAGAACACCAAUUGCGAAGGCAGCUUGCUAAACAAACAUUGACGCUGAGGCACGAAAGCGUGGGGAUCAAACAGGAUUAGAUACCCCAGUAGUCG
rnacentral:rRNA from 1 species